rnacentral:lncRNA from 1 species
AGGAAAAAUCGCAAUCGGCAAAACCGCAAACGAUAAGAAAGGGAAAACAGCAAAGGAUUCAGCGUGCUCCUUCCUAUCAUCAUUUCUACUUGCUUCCACUCGUCCACAGUGAAAUCACCAAUUGCAAUUCAAACCUUAAUCUGAGUGAUAAGGUUAGUACAUUAACAAUUUUGAUUUAGUAAUUUUUCUUCCUGUCCACCGACACCGGUUGACUCAUUAUGAUUUCGGCCUUUGUGAACGAUGAAUGCAUGCAUUUAUGAAACUCAAAAUCUGUGAUUUGUGAUUUUUGAAUGGCUGAAUUCGUCUGCUUCUAUAACCUGUUGGUUUUUUUAUUGUCUCUUGAAUUUGUGAUUUUCUCAAUAUGUGAUUUGUAAAUUUGCUUUGGAGAAUUAAUGUGUUUUGUGUUUUUGAUAUGUAAGAUUUAGUUUGGAACUUCAUCAAAAAUUCAAACAGAGGUGGUGAUUAUUAUUACAAGAUCAUGUAUUUUUACCUUCUUAAUGGUGAUUAUGUUCAGCCUUCCAAGUGAAAAUGUCUUUUGACUCGUAGAUAAAUUGGGCGUUACUUUAUGGUCUCUGCAUUAAGAAGAAGUAAUGGUAGUUUGACAAUCCUAUGUUAAUAAUGUACCUAACAUUUGCUUGUUUUUAUAGAGCCAAUGCUGUAAUGUGGAAGUUUCAUUGUUUAUCUUCUUAUCCUGCAUUUGCUUUGUAAUGUUGUUGUGAUAUUUUGUUGUCUAUCUAGCUCCUACUAUGUGGAGAUGACUGGCUGAUUUGGUCGGAUGAUUGUGAAUAUUUUACUUGCCAUAUAUUUUAAAUUAAAAAUUGACUUCUAUGACCAUGUUAUAUUUAACAUUUCAAAAAUAGUAAGCUAUAAGAUAAACAUAUAAACAAUUUGUAAUAUACUAAUCUAUCAAAAUGGAUGAUGAAUCCAAUAAUAAUGUCUUCUUGAUGAAAGAAUAAAGAAGAUGGUUAAGAGGUUAAGUUUUGUUAAUGAUAGAAGAAAUUGGUUUAUGAUUACUUUUCAAAAUCUUUUAUCUUUUUUUAAUUAACAAAAUUCAUAUUACCCAAUAUAAUAUACGUAUAUCCAAUGUUUAAUGUAUACAAAUUAAAUCAUCAUGCCAUAACAUUAAUGGCAUUCAAAUCGAGCAUUAAAUGCUCCUAAAAACGUAUCAUUAAGGGUAAUUUGGACUUCUCACACAAGAAAGUGUCAUUUUUAGCACCAUUAACAGAAAUGAAAAAUUUUGGUAGAAUUUUUUUUUUUUUUUUUUUUCAUGAACAUUGGAUGAAUUUGGUCCUAACUUUUUCCUCAAUUAUAAGUCUACCCAAGUCAAUCUAUAAUCACUUUCUUCUUUACCACCUACGAUACAAACUAAAUAUUGUAUCCGUUAAACAUUUACAUCUUGAAGUAGCAAGUUGCAGGCACAAUUCACGCGGAGACUGUAGCAACUUACAGAUUUGUCUUUUGAGUCGAAUAACAGGUUAUCAAACAACCCCUUUGAUCUUAUACAUUGUGAUAUAUGGGGGACCUUACCAUGUGACCUCACAUUCUGGACACAAUUAUUUUCUAACCUUGGUAGAUGAUUGUUCUAGAUUUACAUGGAUAUAUCUGUUGAGGAAUAAAUCAGAUGCUAAGACCAUCAUUCCUAGAUUUUUCAGCAUGGUACAUACCCAAUUCAAUGCUAAUAUAAGAAUGCUCUGAUACCACAUCAGAUAUUUGAAUGAAGAAUCUUGUUUUAUUGAUUCUGAAAAUCUGGAGAAAAAUGAACGUACAAGUCUCUAUAAAUAGUGGCAAGUCUUGACGCCAAAAUGAAAAUGAGCUGGACUAACUAACUAACUAAACAAGUGCCAGCUGGUUAACUAAAAUUGAUCUAUGUACAGUACGUUUAUGUACAAUUCCUAAUAAAAACGCUGCGAUAAGUGGGUCCCAUCGAUGGCUUCCCAUCCUUGGCUUGCUUAGCCGGCUCCACUUCUAUGAUAAACCUCUUAUCCGCCAUUUUCGAUCCUUCUGAUUUCCCCCUGUAACAAGAUAUACUUAAAUAUGUAAAAAUGCGUACGUAAUGUGAUGCCGAUUAGAUAGAUAGGAAUUUCUCACUAACGCGAAAUUAUCAAGUUUUAGUUUUGUGUACAGUGUAUAUUAGUUAUAAAGGGUGGCUAUGCAUAUGUGAUUGAAAACUUGCUGGCUAUAUGUUGCAACUUAUUUUUGAUAAUCGAAACUUAUUUUACUAACUCACAUAAUUUGUAUCCUGUUAGAAUCAAGCUAUCCAAUUAAAUUUUUUGAUUUCUUAAUUUAAAAGGAACAUGACUGAAAAACCUGUCGCUGACUCCCUCCUGCCAUCGAUUCAAGGAUUGGAAAGGAAAAAUCGCAAUCAGCAAAAUCGCAAACGAUUGGAAAGGGAAAACAGCAAAGGAUUCAGCCUGCUCCCUCCUAUCGUCAUUGCUACUUGCUUCCUGUAGUCCACAGUCAAAUCGCCAAUUGCAGUUCAGACCCUAAUCUUAGUAAUAAGGCUAGUACAUUAACAAUUUUGAUUUAGUAAUUUUUCUUCCUGACCAGCGACUCCGGUCGACUAAUUAUGAUUUCAGCCUUUGUGAACGGGGAAUGUAUGAAUUUAUGAAACUCAAAACCUGUGAUUUGUGAUUUUUGAAUGGUUGAAUUCGUCUGCUUCUAUAACCUGUUGGUUUUUUUUUAGGCUUUCUUGAAUUCUGAUUUUGUCAAUAUGUGAAUUGUAAAUUUGCUUUGGAGAAUUGAUAUGUUUUUUGUGUUUUUGAUAUGUAAGAUUUAGUUUGGGAACUUCAUCAAAAAUUC